rnacentral:rRNA from 1 species
AUGGAGAGCUACUCGCUGUCAUAUGCAUCCCUGUGCGGCCUUGCAGUUGUUGUAGCAGGCUGGCUGCUACACUGCGUGUACAAGUGGAGGAAUCCUCCCUGCAACAUUGGGAGGCUCCCUCCUGGAUCCAUGGGCUUCCCUCUCGUUGGCGAGACCUUCCAGUUCCUCAGGCCAAGCCCUUCUCUCGAUAUCCCAGCCUUCUACAAGCAAAGGCUGGAAAGGUAUGGCCGGCUGUUCAAGACGAACCUGGUGGGUCACCCUGUGGUGGUGUCCAUGGACGCCGAGGUGAACCGCUUCAUCUUCCAGCAGGAAGGCAAGCUGUUCCGUAGCUGGUACCCGGACACCACCAACGACCUCUUUGGAAAGGAGAGCAUGGUCUACUACGACGGUUCCGUCCACAAGUACGUCCGCAGCUUCGCGGCCAGGCUCUUCGGCAUCGACAGCCUCCGGGACGUGCUCUUCGCUGAGAUGGAGCACAGCGUGACGCAGAACCUGGCCGCGUGGGCCAUGGAGCCUUUCAUUGAGGUCAAGGACGCCGUGGCCACGAUGAUAUUUGACCACAUGGCCAAGAAGCUUAUUGGUUUUGGCCCCGACAAGUCAAGGAAGCUUAGGAAGAACUUCGAUGCCUUCUUCCAGGGAAUGGUCUCAUUCCCGCUGUAUUUCCCUGGGACAACAUUCUACGGAUGCAUACAGGGAAGGAAAAAGCUUCAAAAUGUACUCAAGGACCUACUAAAAGAAAGGCUCAGUACACCUCAGAUGCGACACGGCGAUUUCCUCGACGAGGUGGUCGACGAGCUCCGGAGUGGGACAGGAACGAUGCACGAGAAAUUUGCUGUAGAUUUUGUUGCCGCCCUCUUGUUCGGCACCUUUGCGACGAUCUCGUCAGCGCUUGCGGUCGGUAUGAAGCUCCUCAGCGACCAUCCUAACGUAGUAGAAUCACUCAAGGAGGAGCAUGAAGCGAUUCUCAAGAAAAGAGAGGAUGGAAGAACUGGGAUCACAUGGGAUGAAUACAAGUCCAUGGCAUUCACUGCUCAGGUCACGAAUGAGAUAGUUCGCAUCAGUAACGUGUCCCCUGGAAUAUUCAGGAAAGCACUGACAGAUGUGCCAGUGAAAGGCUACACGAUUCCCGCCGGUUGGCUGGUGAUGAUCAGCUCCAUGGCUAUCCAUCUGAACCCAGAAUUAUAUGAAGAUCCACUAACCUUUAAUCCAUGGAGGUGGCAGGAUGAGUCGAACAAGAGCACUCUACUCAAGAACUUCAUGCCAUUCGGAGGGGGGACGAGGCAUUGUGUGGGAGCAGAGUUCAGCAAGAUUCAGAUCGCCAUCUUCCUCCACACCUUGGUGACAAACUACCGAUGGAAGGAGAUAAAAGGAGGCGACGUGCAACGCAUAACGGAGGUCGUGUUUCCAACAGGCUAUCACAUCCAGAUAAUCCCAAGGGAGGGAUAA